GAUGAAGAACGCAGCGAAAUGCGAUAAGUAGUGUGAAUUGCAGAAUUCAGUGAGUCAUCGAAUCUUUGAACGCACAUUGCGCCCUGUGGUAUUCCGCAGGGCAUGCCUGUUCGAGCGUCAUUUCAACCCUCAAGCUCUGCUUGGUGUUGGGCCCUGCCCGCUGCGGCCGGCCCUAAAGACAGUGGCGGUGCCGCCUGGCCCUGAGCGUAGUACAUCUCUCGCUCCAGUGCCCGGUGGUAGCCUGCCAGAACCCCAACUCUCGUGGUUGACCUCGGAUCAGGUAGGGAUACCCGCUGAACUUAAGCAUAUCAAUAAGCGGAGGA
rnacentral:misc_RNA from 1 species